rnacentral:rRNA from 1 species
GAUGAACGCUGGCGGCAUGCCUAACACAUGCAAGUCGAGCGAACAGACGGGGCGUUUGCUCCUUUGACGUUAGCGGCGGACGGGUGAUUAACACGUAGGUAACCUACCUAUAAGACUGGGAUAACUUCGGGGGACCGGAUCUAAUACCGGAUAAUAUUUCGAACCGCAUGGUUCGAUAGUGAAAGAUGGCUUUGCUAUCACUUAUAGAUGGACCUGGGCCGGAUUAGUAAGUUGGUAAGGUAACGGCUUACCAAGGCAACGAUACGUAGCCGACCUGAGAGGGUGAUCGGCCACACGGGAACGGAGAAACGGCCCAAACUCCUACGGGAGGAAGCGGUAGGGAAUCUUCCGAAAGGGGCAAAGGCCGAACGGGGCAACGCGGCGGGAGUGAGGAAGGUCUUCGGAUCGUAAAACUCUGUUGUUAGGGAGGAACAAAGGUGUAUGAAACUGUGCACGUCUGGACGGAACCGAAUAAUAAGGCCCGGGUAAAUUCGGG